CUACGGGAGGCUGCAGUGGGGAAUGUUGCACAAUGGGCGCAAGCCUGAUGCAGCCAUGCCGCGUGUAUGAAGAAGGCCUUCGGGUUGUAAAGUACUUUCAGCGGGGAGGAAGGGAGUAAAGUUAAUACCUUUGCUCAUUGACGUUACCCGCAGAAGAAGCACCGGCUAACUCCGUGCCAGCAGCCGCGGUAAUACGGAGGGUGCAAGCGUUAAUCGGAAUUACUGGGCGUAAAGCGCACGCAGGCGGUUUGUUAAGUCAGAUGUGAAAUCCCCGGGCUCAACCUGGGAACUGCAUCUGAUACUGGCAAGCUUGAGUCUCGUAGAGGGGGGUAGAAUUCCAGGUGUAGCGGUGAAAUGCGUAGAGAUCUGGAGGAAUACCGGUGGCGAAGGCGGCCCCCUGGACGAAGACUGACGCUCAGGUGCGAAAGCGUGGGGAGCAAGCAGGAUUAGAUACCCCCGUAGUC
rnacentral:rRNA from 1 species